GCAGAUGUAUAGUUGGUACAUAGUACCAGGUUAAGCAGAUGUAUAGUUGGUACAUAGUACCAGGUUAAGCAGAUGUAUAGUUGGUACAUAGUACCAGGUUAAGCAGAUGUAUAGUUGGUACAUAGUACCAGGUUAAGCAGAUGUAUAGUUGGUACAUAGUACCAGGUUAAGCAGAUGUAUAGUUGGUACAUAGUACCAGGUUAAGCAGAUGUAUAGUUGGUACAUAGUACCAGGUUAAGCAGAUGUAUAGUUGGUACAUAGUACCAGGUUAAGCAGAUGUAUAGUUGGUACAUAGUACCAGGUUAAGCAGAUGUAUAGUUGGUACAUAGUACCAGGUUAAGCAGAUGUAUAGUUGGUACAUAGUACCAGGUUAAGCAGAUGUAUAGUUGGUACAUAGUACCAGGUUAAGCAGAUGUAUAGUUGGUACAUAGUACCAGGUUAAGCAGAUGUAUAGUUG